rnacentral:rRNA from 1 species
UACAGAGGGGGCAAGCGUUUGUUCGGAAUUACUGGGCGUAAAGCGCACGUAGGCGGCUUUGUAGGUUAGAGGUGAAAGCCCAGGGCUUAACCCUGGAAUUGCCUUUAAGACUGCAUCGCUAGAAUCGUGGAGAGGUGAGUGGAAUUCCGAGUGUAGAGGUGAAAUUCGUAGAUAUUCGGAAGAACACCAGUGGCGAAGGCGACUCACUGGACACGUAUUGACGCUGAGGUGCGAAAGCGUGGGGAGCAAACAGG